rnacentral:rRNA from 1 species
CACGUAGGGGGCUAGCGUUGUCCGGAUUUAUUGGGCGUAAAGAGCUCGUAGGUGGUUCGGUAAGUCGGAUGUGAAAUUCCUGGGCUUAACCUGGGGGCUGCAUACGAGACGUAUGGGCUUGAGUGCGGAAGAGGGUCGUGGAAUUCCCAGUGUAGAGGUGAAAUUCGUAGAUAUUGGGGAAGAACACCGGUGGCGAAGGCGGGUCUCUGGGCAGUAACUGACGCUGAGGAGCGAAAGCGUGGGGAGCGAACAGG